rnacentral:rRNA from 1 species
UACGUAGGGCGCAAGCGUUAUCCGGAAUUAUUGGGCGUAAAGAGCUCGUAGGCGGUUUGUUGCGUCGGCUGUGAAAUCCCGAGGCUCAACCUCGGGUCUGCAGUCGAUACGAGCAAACUAGAGUGUUGCAGGGGAGACUGGAAUUCCUGGUGUAGCGGUGAAAUGCGCAGAUAUCAGGAGGAACACCGGUGGCGAAGGCGGGUCUCUGGGGCAACAACUGACGCUGAGGAGCGAAAGCGUGGGGAGCGAACAGG